rnacentral:rRNA from 1 species
UACGGGGGGGGGCGAGCGUUGUCCGGAAUUACUGGGCGUAAAGGGCGCGUAGGCGGCCUGCUAAGUCGAACGUGAAAUCCCUGGGCUCAACCCAGGAACUGCGUCCGAUACUGGUUGGCUUGAAUCCGGGAGAGGGAUGUGGAAUUCCAGGUGUAGCGGUGAAAUGCGUAGAUAUCGGGAGGAACACCAGUGGCGAAGGCGGCGACCUGGGCCAAUAUUGACGCUGAGGUGCGAAAGCGUGGGGAGCAAC